CUCUCUCUUCUCUCUCACUCUCACUCUCUUUUCAUUUCAGUUUUUCCCAUUCCUUCCUUCCUCGUUAGACAAUAUUACUUUUCUCAAGUAUUUUACAUACUGCCACUUUUCUUUUCAGAGGUCUUGCCAUUAUACUUGAUUUUUAAAGUGUGUCACCCAGUUAUACAAAUGACACCUUAUUAUCCCACACAAUCCUCAGAGAAGGCCUGUCAUCUGAGGAAUUUGCUAUUUUAGAAAAGGGUUAGACUUUGUGAUUAGACAGGUGGAGCACUUUCCAGUAUGUCACUUCCAGAAAUCAUAAGUCUGGUCUACGUCAUUGCAAUGUGUACCAUGUAAGUUUUUUUUUAUUUAUUUAUAAUUCAUAUUCAACUAGACAGGAAAAAUGGAUGUCAUUUGUUUUUAUUUGACUAAUUUUUACCCAGUGUUAAAGAUAGAUAAAGGUAUCAUAUUAAGGUUGCUAUUAACUCCUACAAAGUUCAUAACUGUAGUCAUAAUUGGUUCCAUAACCAUGAAUACCUCCUUUUCUGCAAUUUAAUGUUUAUUUUAACAAGUAUUCAGUGAGUUUCUUAUUACCAAACACAAUUUGAUUAAAGAAUGAAAUAGAAUUGACUUCCACCAUGGUGUCCAUGAAGUAUUCUAUCCUAAUUUAAUACUUACGGAACCUAAAUGUAAUAGUAAUUACUAUGACUAUUCCUUAAAAUUUCCACAAUUCACUAAUUCAGAACCAACAAGUUAAGUAUAGCUUUAGAAUCUGAAAAGAGAAAACAGAGCAAAGAAAGAAGCUUUUGUAGGAGAAACUGUUGGGUGUACGUGAAUGUCUUGCAGAGGCUGACAAAGUAGUUACAACUGUGAAUCAUGCCUCCACCCCUAUACACUGUUUUUCAAUUGCCAAACAAAAUCUCUGAGUUUCUAGUGCUGAUUUAUAAAUGCAUUAGGAAUAAGUAUCAUUAAUGGAGUGGUUUUAUCUUUGGCACCAAUAAUGAUGUCUUGUUUCCUUGUAUAUGUAAGGGUUUAUGUUUGUAAUUGUAUGUAUAUAUGUCAUAUUCUGGUGUAAAUAAUGAUUACAGCUUGCAAUGUUUUGUAUUUCUGGGAAGUUAUUAAAUAUAUACAGAAUA